UUUUGCAUUUGAUAUUCAGCUUCAACGUUGUCAAAUAACCACCACCACACGUCCUCACCCCGGCCUCCAUUAAUGGCGACAUCUCCAAUUCUCCUCAUCUUCUGCCUCUCUCUCCUCGCCGCUGCCUCAACGACGUCCGAAGCCACCUCUGCCCACGACGAAUUGAUAAACUACGGCUUCCCCGUCGGCCUUCUCCCCGCCGACAUCGACUCCUACACCCUCAAUCACACCUCCGGCGCCUUCACGGUACUGCUUGGCGAUAAGUGCCGCGUCACGCUGCCUCCGGAUAACUACUUGGCCUCCUAUUCCAAGCGAAUUACUGGUAAGAUCGACGGGAAUCGGAUCGCCGAGCUCGACGGUAUCAGCGUUAGGGCGUUCUUCAAGUGGUGGGGAAUCACUGGCAUCAGAUCCAAUGGCCAGGAUUUGGUGUUCGAGGUUGGUAUGGUCACCGCCAAGUAUCCUUCGAAGAAUUUCGACGUAUCGCCGCCCUGCGAAGGCCGCCGCUCUUCCUCCUCCUAGAGAGAGAUAAUCUAGGUCUUUACUUCGAGCAGCUAUUCAUAAUUCGAGUACUAUAUGUUGAGAAAUGGUGAAAGAUUGAUGUGGCGAUUGCAAAACUUCUUUACUACUAGUAUUUGUUUCACAACUGACAAUGUGCUCAACUUAAAUGUAACACUGGUGGCCUAAAGGGUCUAAACCCAUCGAGUUGGGGUUCCAGUCCUAAUGCAAUGAGACAUUAGUUGUAUAAGCAACUACUUUGACAUUCGUACUCAUAUUGCCAAAAUUGUUAAAUUUAAGUUGAGUCCCUUCAAAUAGCAUUCCAACUUUUGUUCUUAAUGGAUGUGAGAUGCUCACAUUGCAUUAAUGCAUUGUGCUAUGAGCUGAUUGAUCUCCAUAUAUACCUUUUUACACAUGUUCAUCUUUGUGCACACUUGUAGCCAACAUUUUUGUACAGCCGGAGAUUAUAGACGAGUUAUAGGAUAACCAUGGUCAAAUUUGAGCCGUACUCUUGAGUCUUGUCUUUAUUAUUUUUAAUAAAGCAAUUUUUUUUGUGUUUUUGUUGUUUUAAAGAAUUGUCCUUUGGACACUGGUCAUUGAUAUGCUUGGAUGGUUUUGGACAUUUUGGAGCAGAAACUGAAAAUAAUUUAUUGGAAGUGGUGAUAUCUUUGGUGAGAAGCACACUAAAAUUCUGAUUUGUUUUAAUUCUACUUUUAAGAGGGAAUUGAGUAGAAAUUUGUUCUUGAAAAACAUAAAACUCGUUUUUUAGUAAUACAUGAUUAAGAUUCUCCUUAUAUGCUGCCAUUGCAAAAAUCUUAUGCAUCAUGGGUAAUUGUUUGCUGAUGAUAAUAAUGUAUUGUGGAAUCCGAAUCUAUAUAUUGCUCCAUUAUACUGUAGUUACUUUCACGCACAGUUUCUGGAUGACGUACUGUAAGAGUAGAGUUACAGAAUCAUGGGCGCAAAAUUUUGAUUUCACAAGCAGGAAGCAUUUGGAUGCCUUGGGGCCUUGGCACUCUCCAAUAAGCUGUGAUGUCAUUUAAAAACCCUGUAACUUAUCAUUUAAAAAUUUUAUAUGGUAGAAGCUGUGUUUGGAUUCAAAUGACAUUAAUAUAUAUGGUAGGUAACACUAGUGAACUAUUGGAUUGUCUUGCAUUAUUAUUGUAUACUUGAUUUGCUCAACUCAUUUAUAUUACUUGGGUAAAAGAGUGAUUUGGGUAGAA